CGCCUUCUUUCGCCUUCUUCUCACCUUGUUCUCUCCUACACAUUCACAGAAAGCCAUCUUUCAAGCAAAUGCAACAAGUUGACAAGUGAGCUAGUGCGUGACGCAAGCGUGCCAUAUGUUUGGUGAUUCGCACGGGGUACGAGGAAAGGCAGUCUUCACACGUGUUGAUUGGAGAAUCAAGAUCUUUUGUGUGGAUGAUGUUCUGUCCCAAACAUCACCAUAACUGGUAUAACUGAAUAACAACAAUGGAGGAGCGUUGCUUUUUAUGCUUGGCGUCAGAAAAGAAUCAGGUGAGCAUAUGCUCUGAGUUAUUGCCAUUAUACUAUAUUACCUCCUAGCGAAAGUAUCUCUUUGUUUUCUUUACUCUAUUGAGCUUUUAUUUCC